GUGGGAAAGGGGAGUGCACUUGAAAACAUCAAACCGAUUUACAUUAUUUGCAUUUGUAAACUCACCGUAGAUACAUUUUGGAACCAUUAUGGCAGCCAGUGAAUCAAGAGCGACCGCGCCAAGUGCAUGACUACGGCAUCGGUUUGGAAGGUGAGCGAAGGGAGACGAGAGGAGAAGCUGUAAGCCCGCGGUGACAGCCAGGCAUGUUCACUUCGGCUUUUUUCCCUAGCAAAUCGACAGGAGAUACAACCCGGGAGAUGUGCUAUAAAACAAACUGCGCUCUCAAAGGAAGCCGGCGGACAGCGAUGGCUAGGUUGGCACGUCAGAAUAACCAGCCAGAAAAGAAAGAGAGAGAAGGACGUGAUCAAUGGACUUGAACUCUGGAGCUCCACUGCCACAGACGGAAAGAGUCACAAUCCAGUCAAGAAGCAUGCAGCAUGAAGCUGAUCAACUCACCAGGAAAAACGUUUUCAGUCGCAAUUUUGCAUUGACCUCAUAUAAUGACUUCCAUGAUACUGAUCAAAUGAAGCCUGGUUUGUUCUAAGGUAACUUUAAUGUGCUGAAACUGUACUUUCAUAUUCGAAUGAGAGGGGAAUUGUUCAUGUUUGAUAUGCUAACAUGCUAUCUGUGUAGUGUCUUGCAAGCUACAUUUAAUGCGUGUACGAACAUGAAAAUAAACCCCUUAAUUGUCUAUAUACUUGUGAAUCGUUGCAUUAUUCAAGUGUAGUUAAUAUGUUUUAGAGGAAAAGUUGUUUGCAUUGUCGAACAGUAUGCAAUGUUACAAGGUUAGUGAUAACUGUGAUACUGAUUUUUACGGUAAAUUUGGAGCUGCAGAUCCAGAAAGUGAAUAUACAGUACCAGUCAAAAGUUUGGACAUACCUACUCAUUCAAAGGUUUUAAUUAUUUUUUACUAUUUUCUACAUUGUUAAAUAAUAGUGAAGACAUCAAAAUUAUGAAAUACCACAUAUGGAAUCAUUUUGUAACUAAAGUGUUAAACAAAUCAAAAUAUAAUAUUUGAGAUUCUUAAAAGUAGCCACCCUUUGCCUUGACAGCUUUUCACGUUCUUGGCAUUCUCCAACCAGCUUCAUGAAGUAGUCACCUGGAAUGCAUUUCAAUUAACAGGUGUGCCUUGUUUAAAGUACAAGUUUGAGCCAAUCAGUUGUGUUGUGACAAGUUAGGGCAUUUUUCUGUAUACCACCCCUAUUUGGUAAAAGACCAAGGCCAUAUUAUUGCAAGAACAGCUCAAAUAAGCAAGAGAAAUGACAGGCCAUCAUUACUUUAAGACAUGAAGGUCAGUCAAUGUGGAAAAUUUCAAGAGCUUUGUAAGUUUAUUUCAAAUGCAGUCGCAAAACCCAUCAAGCGCUAUGCUGAAACUGCCACAGGAAAGGAAGACCCAGAGGUACCUCUGCUGCAGAGUAUAAGUUCAUUAGAAUUAACUGCACCUCAGAUAGCAGCCCAAAUAAAUGCUUCACAGAGUUCAAGUAACAGUCACAUCAACAUUCACUGUUCAGAGGAGACUGUGUGAAUCAGGCCUUAAUGGUUGAAUUGCUGCAAAGAAACCACUACUAAAGGACACCAAUAAUAAGAAGAGUCUUGCUUGGGCCAAGAAACAUGAGCAAUGGACAUUAGACUGGUGGAAAUCUGUCCUUUGGUCUGAUGAGUCCAAAUUUGCGAUUUUUGGUUUCAACCGCCGUGUCUUUGUGAGACGCAAAGUAGGUGAACGGAUUAUCUCCACACGGGUGCAAACAACCCGCCCUCCAGGACACCUAUGUCACAGGAAGGUCAAAAAUAUCAUCUAGGACAUCAACCACCCGAGCCACUGCCUGUUCACCCCGCUAUCAUCCAGAAGGCAAGGUCAGUACAGGUGUAUCAAAGCUGGGACAGAGAGACUGAAAAACAGCUUUUAUCUCAAGGCCAUCAGACUGUGAAACAACUAUCACUAGAACAUUAGAGGCUGCUGCCAAUAGGCAUAGACUAGGAAUCACUGGCCACUUUAAGGAAUGGAACACUAGUCACUUUAAUAAUGUUUACAUAUCUGGAAUUACUCAUCUCAUAUGUACAGUUAAAGUCAGAAGUUUACAUACACUUAGGUUGGAGUCAUUAAAACUCAUUUUUCAACCACUCCACAAAUUUCUUGUUAACAAACUAUAGUUUUGGCAAGUCGGUUAGGACAUCUACUUUGUGCAUGACACAAGUCAUUUUCCCAACAAUUGUUUACAGAUACUUUCACUUAUAAUUCACUGUAUCACAAUUCCAGUGGGUCAGAAGUUUACAUACACUAAGUUGACUGUGCCUUUAAACAUUUGGAAAAUUCCAGAAUAGUAUGUCAUGGCUUUAGAAGCUUCUGAUAGGCUAAUUGACAUUUGAGUCAAUUGGAUGUGUACAUGUGGAUGUAUUUCAAGGCCUACCUUCAAACUCAGUGCCUCUUUGUUUGACAUCAUGGGAAAAUCAAAAGAAAUCAGCCAAGACCUAAAAAAAAAAAAUUGUAGACCUCCACAAGUCUUGUUCAUCCUUGGGAGCAAUUUCCAAACAACUGAAGGUACCACGUUCAUCUGUACAAACAAUAGUACACAAGUAUAAACACCAUGGGACCACGCAUCCAUCAUACCGCUCAGGAAGAAGAAGCGUUCCAUCUCCUAGAGAUGAACUUACUUUGGUGCGAAAAGUGCAAAUCAAUCCCAGAACAACAGCAAAGGACCUUGUGAAGAUGC
rnacentral:lncRNA from 1 species